rnacentral:misc_RNA from 1 species
GGGGGGCACUGGAAAUAUCUUGUUCUACAUUCCCAAAGUUUGCUUUCCCAGUCAACAUUUUAAUAACUAUUUGAGCAACUUGAGCAAACCAGUCAUCCUCUGGUAGUACACUGCCAAGAUAAUGUUGAGCAUGUUUCAGACAUCUUAGAAGUUAGAAGUUAAUUUGCCAGUCAUAUUCAUAAAGUAAUUUCAAAGGGCAUCCAUGAAUAUUGGCUAUAACAGAAGUAGACCAUAGUUUUUCUCAGGAUGUUAUAUCAUUCUACUACAUUUUUUUUAACAAAGUUAUUUUGAUUAGUUUAAUUAAUGUGACCUAGUAAGAACUUGUA